UACGGGGGGGGCAAGCGUUGUUCGGAAUUACUGGGCGUAAAGGGCUCGUAGGCGGCCAACUAAGUCAGACGUGAAAUCCCUCGGCUUAACCGGGGAACUGCAUCUGAUACUGGAUGGCUUGAGUUCGGGAGAGGGAUGCGGAAUUCCAGGUGUAGCGGUGAAAUGCGUAGAUAUCUGGAGGAACACCGGUGGCGAAGGCGGCAUCCUGGACCGACACUGACGCUGAGGAGCGAAAGCCAGGGGAGCAAAACGGG
rnacentral:rRNA from 1 species